GUGCCAGCAGCCGCGGUAAUACGUAGGUGGCAAGCGUUGUCCCGGAAUUAUUGGGCGUAAAGGGCUCGCAGGCGGUUUCUUAAAGUCUGAUGUGAAAGCCCCCGGCUCAACCGGGGAGGGUCAUUGGAAACUGGGGAACUUGAGUGCAGAAGAGGAGAGUGGAAUUCCACGUGUAGCGGUGAAAUGCGUAGAGAUGUGGAGGAACACCAGUGGCGAAGGCGACUCUCUGGUCUGUAACUGACGCUGAGGAGCGAAAGCGUGGGGAGCGAACAGGAUUAGAUACCCUGGGUAGUCC
rnacentral:rRNA from 1 species